rnacentral:misc_RNA from 1 species
UCUCCGUAGGUGAACCUGCGGAGGGAUCAUUACUGAAUGGCUUCGGCCUUCAACCUUGUAUACCUGCGGAAGCAAUCCGUGCUUCGGCGCUCCGGCGCCGCAUUUAUGCAGCAAAGCAUUUGUCUGAAUCAAAAGCAAUAAGUUAAAACUUUCAACAACGGAUCUCUUGGUUCCG